rnacentral:lncRNA from 1 species
CGGCCGUGCCAUUCCCAUGAUGCCCAGCCACCGGGCACGGCUUCCGGAGCGCGGCCGCCGCCGCCCCGCCGCCGCCGGGCAGCUUGAACAAUGACCACAGUGAGGUGGGCACAGGCGGGUGGAAGAGCCCUCCCCCUCGGCGUUGCUGGCCCCCACUGUCCUUAGCAGGGGAUCUCCUUGGAGGGUGGUGUUGCGGGAAAGACCACCUGCUGUCGUGGGGGCUCCAUCUGAGGACUCUGAAGUGGCUUCUCACGUCCCCAGCUAUGCAUGUCCUGGUACAUCAGACCAAUGGCUCAGGGGAGUUGGAACGAUUAAUUGUUGUGGUUAACUGUAUUUGGCCUCAGGUCAAAAGUCUGUUUAAAAAGUGGGCCCAAGAUGCUACAGAGUACACGUAG